rnacentral:rRNA from 1 species
UACAGAGGGGGCUAGCGUUAUUCGGAAUCACUGGGCGUAAAGCGCACGUAGGCGGACUCUUAAGUCGGUGGUGAAAUCCUGGAGCUCAACUCCAGAACUGCCUUCGAUACUGGGAGUCUUCGAGUCCGGGAGAGGUGAGUGGAACUGCGAGUGUAGAGGUGAAAUUCGUAGAUAUUCGCAAGAACACCAGUGGCGAAGGCGGCUCACUGGCCCGGUACUGACGCUGAGGUGCGAAAGCGUGGGGAGCGAUCCGG